GGCAACAUGGCCGAGCGGUCCAAGGCGUGCGACUCAAGCGUUACGUAAGCUUACCGGUUUACCGGUUCACUUUCGCAUAGGGAAACCUGCGUGGGUUCGAAUCCCACUGUUGUCA